rnacentral:sRNA from 12 species
UAAACCCUGCUGAACCGAAGUCUAACGCGCCGCGUCAGAUAUUUUUUAGGUGAAGCGGGGUUUA